AAGAGACAGCAGUAGCCACGGUAAUACGGAGGGGGCUAGCGUUGUUCGGAAUUACUGGGCGUAAAGCGCACGUAGGCGGCUUUGUAAGUCAGAGGUGAAAGCCCGGGGCUCAACCCCGGAAUUGCCUUUGAGACUGCAUCGCUUGAAUCCAGGAGAGGUGAGUGGAAUUCCGAGUGUAGAGGUGAAAUUCGUAGAUAUUCGGAAGAACACCAGUGGCGAAGGCGGCUCACUGGACUGGUAUUGACGCUGAGGUGCGAAAGCGUGGGGAGCAAACAGGAUUAGAUACCCGGGUAGUCCCUGUCUCUUAUAC
rnacentral:rRNA from 1 species